GAUGAACGCUGGCGGCGUGCCUAACACAUGCAAGUCGAGCGAACGGACGAGAAGCUUGCUUCUCUGAUGUUAGCGGCGGACGGGUGAGUAACACGUGGAUAACCUACCUAUAAGACUGGGAUAACUUCGGGAAACCGGAGCUAACACCGGAUAAUAUUUUGAACCGCAUGGUUCAAAAGUGAAAGACGGUCUUGCUGUCACUUAUAGAUGGAUCCGCGCUGCAUUAGCUAGUUGGUAAGGUAACGGCUUACCAAGGCAACGAUGCAUAGCCGACCUGAGAGGGUGAUCGGCCACACUGGAACUGAGACACGGUCCAGACUCCUACGGGAGGCAGCAGUAGGGAAUCUUCCGCAAUGGGCGAAAGCCUGACGGAGCAACGCCGCGUGAGUGAUGAAGGUCUUCGGAUCGUAAAACUCUGUUAUUAGGGAAGAACAUAUGUGUAAGUAACUGUGCACAUCUUGACGGUACCUAAUCAGAAAGCCACGGCUAACUACGUG
rnacentral:rRNA from 1 species